AGUGAACGCUGGCGGUAGGCCUAACACAUGCAAGUCGAACGGCAGCACAGUAAGAGCUUGCUCUUACGGGUGGCGAGUGCCGGACGGGUGAGGAAUACAUCGGAAUCUACUUUCUCGUGGGGGAUAACGUAGGGAAACUUACGCUAAUACCGCAUACGACCUACGGGUGAAAGCAGGGGAUCUUCGGACCUUGCGCGAUUGAAUGAGCCGAUGUCGGAUUAGCUAGUUGGCGGGGUAAAGGCCCACCAAGGCGAUGAGCCGUAGCUGGUCUGAAAGGAUGAUCAGCCACACUGGAACGGAGACACGGUCCAGACUCCUACGGGAGGCAGCAGUGGGGAAUAUUGGACAAUGGGCGCAAGCCUGAUCCAGCCAUGACGCGUGGGUGAAGAAGGCCUUCGGGUUGUAAAGCCCUUUUGUUGGGAAAGAAAAGCAGCAGGUUAAUACCCCGCUGUUCUGACGGUACCCAAAGAAUAAGCACCGGCUAACUUCGU
rnacentral:rRNA from 1 species